UCCGGUGAGAAUCCGGAGCUGGCGCGCAACGGUAUGAGGCCCACGCCUUAAGCCCGA
rnacentral:ncRNA from 1 species